GACGUAGGGCGCGAGCGUUGUCCGGAUUUAUUGGGCGUAAAGAGCUCGUAGGCGGCUUGUCGCGUCGAAUGUGAAAUCUCAGGGCUCAACUCUGACAUUGCAUUCGAUACGGGCAGGCUCGAGUUCGGUAGGGGAGACUGGAAUUCCUGGUGUAGCGGUGAAAUGCGCAGAUAUCAGGAGGAACACCGGUGGCGAAGGCGGGUCUCUGGGCCGAUACUGACGCUGAGGAGCGAAAGCGUGGGGAGCGAACAGGG
rnacentral:rRNA from 1 species